GAUGAAGAACGCAGCGAAAUGCGAUAAGUAGUGUGAUUUGCAGAAUUCAGUGAAUCAUCGAAUCUUUGAACGCACAUUGCGCCCCUUGGUAUCCCGAGGGGCAUGCCUGUUCGAGCGUCAUUUCACCACUCAAGCCUGGCUUGGUGUUGGGCGACGUCCCCUUUGGGGACGCGCCUCGAAACGCUCGGCGGCGUGGCACCGGCUUUAAGCGUAGCAGAAUCUUUCGCUUUGGAAGUCGGGGCCCCGUCUGCCGGAAGACCUACUCGCAAGGUUGACCUCGGAUCAGGCAGGGAUACCCGCUGAACUUAAGCAUAUCAAUAAGCGGAGGA
rnacentral:misc_RNA from 1 species